rnacentral:rRNA from 1 species
CCUACGUGAGGCAGCAGUGAGGAAUAUUGGUCAAUGGGCGCGAGCCUGAACCAGCCAAGUAGCGUGAAGGAUGACUGCCCUACGGGUUGUAAACUUCUUUUAUAAAGGAAUAAAGUGAGGCACGUGUGCCUUUUGUAUGUACUUUAUGAAUAAGGAUCGGCUAACUCCGUGCCAGCAGCCGCGGUAAUACGGAGAAUCCGAGCGUUAUCCGGAUUUAUUGGGUUUAAAGGGAGCGUAGAUGGGUUGUUAAGUCAGUUGUGAAAGUUUGCGGCUCAACUGUAAAAUUGCAAUUUAUACUGGCAGUCUUGAGUACAGUUGAGGUAGGCGGAAUUCGUGGUGUAGCGGUGAAAUGCUUAGAUAGCACGAAGAACCCCGAUUGCGAAGGCAGCUUACUAAACUGUGACUGACAUUGAUGCUCGAAAGUGUGGGUAUCAAACAGGAUUAGAUACCCUUGUAGUC